UUAUCUCUGUAGAGUCUGCAUAUCAAUAAGCGGAGGAAAAGAAACUAACUAGGAUUCCCUUAGUAACGGCGAGUGAAGCGGGAAGAGCUCAAAUUUGAAAUCUUCAAGGUUCUACCUUGACGAAUUGUAGUUUAAAGAAGUGUUUUCUGUUAGAGUGAGUAGCAAAAGUUCCUUGGAAUAGGACAUCAUAGAGGGUGAGAAUCCCGCUAUUUGACUUAUUCAUUCUAGCUUUGUGAUACACUUUCAAAGAGUCGGAUUGUUUGGGAAUGCAGUCCAAAAUGGGUGGUAAAUUUCAUCUAAAGCUAAAUAUUGGCGAGAGACCGAUAGCGAACAAGUACCGUGAGGGAAAGAUGAAAAGAACUUUGAAAAGAGAGUUAAACAGUACGUGAAAUUGUCAAAAGGGAAGCGUUUGACACCAGUGUUGUUUCUCCGAAAAUCAAUUACGAAUGGCUUGAUUCUGUGUUGUAUUGACCUUAUCAGCUUUCUUCACUUUUUUCGAGUCUUUCUUAAUGUACUUUUCGGUUAACAAGUCAACAUCAAUUUCUUUUGUUGUAAAAGAGUAUUCGGAAGGUGGCUUUCUUUUCGGAGAAAGUGUUUAUAGCCCUAUACUUCUACAAUCGGAGAGAUUGAGGUCUGCAGCGUAGAUCCUUCGGGGUUAGAUACACUUGUGCUAAGUUGUAGCUUUUCAUAGACAACUUGUUGACUAUGUUUAGUCAUGCGGCUUACUCGCUUGUGCUAUUUUACCUACGCUUAGGAUGUUGACGAGACUGUCGAUCUC
rnacentral:rRNA from 1 species